GCAAGCUACAGGUCAAAGAUGCGUAACCGGAUGUCCAGUGACCGCUGUUUUCCAGAAGAAAAAGGUCAUAAGUUCCAGAAGAAGGUUUAAAGGACAUAAAAUGGCCAAACAUUUGAGGAUUUCGCAAGGUACAGAGACUGUACAUCUGAGGAGGGAGGCAGCCAUCAAGACCCCGUGCCUUUAUUUUGGUGAAGAUGAUGAUUCUCUCAUACAUGUAUGGAUAUCCAUGGCAAGGAGGUGUCAAGAGAAAACCACCCCAUGGAACAUGAGGACAUCGGCAUCGUUGUGGAUGGAGGCAUCAUUUUGGAGGAACCUUGGUCUGUUGCACAAGACUGUGUAGUGAAGCCAGAGACUUUCUAAUGAGGAGACACAGCACUCGAAAAAUCCUCCAUACAAAUGCAUGGGGUUAGUUUGUAACGCCGUUGUAUACACAUCCCACCCCUUCCUCGGCAAAACGUCAACAUGUGAAUACAUUGAGCCAGUCAUGUGGUGUGAUGUGAAUACAUUGAGCCAAUCAUAUGGUGUGUUGUGCAGACAUCGUGCCAAUCAUGUGUUGUGAACCCGGUGCUGGAGUAAGGUUGGUGUCGCGAAGCCUUGCGCACAAGCAUUUCUGCCAAAUAGGAUGCCCAAAGAGUGCCCAAAAAGCAUUGCAUUAUGGCCGCCGAGUGGAGGGACUUGCCUAAAAGGACUUUGGUAAAGCUAGGGGUCAUAUACACGUUGAAUCAAUGUUGAGCUUUUCAAUACUAUUACGAAUUAAUGCAAAAAGUUGUCAUUCAGAUGGAUGGUGAUAAGCUCCUACCCAAGGUUCUCACUCUUAAGAACCAAAUCAUUAGAUGGGCAAGUGGGCCUCUUCUUUCUCUUCCCUGCUCUCUCUCUCUCUGUCUUUCUUUCUAUCGUUCGUCCUCUCUCGGCACACUUUUACACACACACACACACAAUAUCUUGCUGUAUGGUGUUUGGCUUUGUAUCAGGCACAAAUUCGUGCAAAAAGUGGUCAUGCAGAUGGAUGGUGAGAAGCUCUCAGCCAAGUUUCUCUACCUUUGUGUUUUUGGGCUCUGUUUUUUAUUUAUUUCUUACCCUUUUUCUUUCAUUCUCUCUUUCUUUCUCUAUCACACUCUACCUCUCUCUCUCA